CUAAAAUAGCUCAACAGCAUAUCUCUUAGAAGGAAAUGUGUAGUGUCACCUCAAGAGAUAUUUUGGUCAAAGUAGCUAAUGAAUCAUGAAUACAGGCAAAGAGAAAAAUAAACUAUGAGCUGAUCUCCACCACUGUAUUUUCUCAGAGGCUUUUCAAACAUUCUUUAUAACAGCACACAAUGAAACACUUCUCAAGAAGCAUGAGACAAUUUUCUGAGAUAUAUAAAGAUCCUUCCCUUAAAAAAGUGAUGAAGUAGGGGGAUUUGGCUUUUGGCUUUUGCCCUUUUACUAUAGAUUUUUUAUGUCCUCCAGUCACUCCUUUUUAGUGUUCAUCUUGAGGAAACAUGAACCCAGGGCUUGUUGCCUCCAGUGAUUGUGGUUUGUCAUCUGAUCUCUCAUUGAUGAGAGAUGUGUCUGAGUGUGGUGACCAGUAUCACACCCCAGCACUAAAAGGAAGCAAACUGUAUGAUUGACUAAGUAUCUUAAUCUUCAUGUGCCUUUCUGAAUCUGUAAAAAUUGGUUAAUAAGAGAAUUCUCAAUUUAUAAAUACUUAAUGGCAUUAAAUAAAAUCAUAUUUACUAAGCAUUUAGAGCAGUACCCACAAAAUUUUGCUCUAUGCAACACUAUACAUAAAAAAUAUUAUUAUGCUCAUGGUGAGUCAGAAAGCUUUCAAGGCCCCUUUUAAAAUUCAGAUCUUACCUUUUAGAUAAUUGGCCUGGAAUUAUAUUGCAUCUGCUCCUUUAGAUAGUAUAAUAAAGAGAAG
rnacentral:lncRNA from 1 species